UAGAGUUUGAUCCUGGCUCAGAACGAACGCUGGCGGCAUGCCUAACACAUGCAAGUUGAACGAGAAAGCACCUUCGGGUGCAAGUAGAGUAGCGCACGGGUGAGCAACGCGUGGGAACCUGCCAAGCAGUACGGAAUAACCUUUGGAAACGAAGGGUAAUACCGCAUACGCCCCUUCGGGGGGAAAGAUUUAUCGCUGUUUGAUGGUCCCGCGUCCGAUUAGCUAGUUGGUAAGGUAACGGCUUACCAAGGCAACGAUCGGUAGCUGGUCUGAGAGGAUGAUCAGCCACACUGGAACUGAGACACGGUCCAGACUCCUACGGGAGGCAGCAGUGGGGAAUAUUGGACAAUGGGCGCAAGCCUGAUCCAGCAAUGCCGCGUGAGUGAAGAAGGCCCUAGGGUUGUAAAACUCUUUCGAUAGUGAAGAUGAUGACGGUAACUAUAAAGAAGCACCGCUAACUU
rnacentral:rRNA from 1 species